rnacentral:rRNA from 1 species
UACGGAGGGGGCAAGCGUUGUCCGGAAUUACUGGGCGUAAAGGGCUCGUAGGCGGCCAACUAAGUCAUACGUGAAAUCCCUCAGCUUAACUGGGGAACUGCGUGUGAUACUGGAUGGCUGGGAUUUGGGAGAGGGAUGCGGAAUUCCAGGUGUAGCGGUGAAAUGCGUAGAUAUCUGGAGGAACACCGGUGGCGAAGGCGGCAUCCUGGACCGAUAUUGACGCUGAGGAGCGAAAGCUAGGGGAGCAAACGGG